GGAAGCUGAAAGGCCACCUCAACUCCACCUUUUUACCUCAUGCUAGGUCGACCGAAAGUUCAAGAGUUUGCUGUAAAUUCCCCAGACAGCUGAAUGGCAACAUAACAAGUGACAGAGGGAGAAUAGUCAAUGCUUCAUUUCCAGCCCUUCCUUGUUCAUUUAGCACCGGGGUGCCGUGGUCUUUAUUCCAUCUCUGCUCUGUCACAAGCUGUCCUCACAGCUUCUGUCAGCGCCGGGUUCAUCAUCGGGACUGAGCUGAAAUGAGGAUCGUAUAGAAAAUAACGUUUCUCCUGUCACAGAUCGAAGACCGGGGCAAAGUGGGGACACCCGACAGAAAGAUACUGUCAUCAGCAGAGAAAAGAAAUCAAGAAGUUUUAUUGGAAUGAGGAAAUAAAAGUAUUUUCAAAGUAA